GGGAAAGUAGCAUAAUGGCUAAUGCACCUCGCGCAAUGUCACAAAAUGGAUUAUGACGCUGCGAGAAGUACUCAGUUCGAUUCUGAGCUUUCCCG